UGGGGAAUAUUGGACAAUGGGCGCAAGCCUGAUCCAGCCAUGCCGCGUGUGUGAAGAAGGCUCUAGGGUUGUAAAGCACUUUAAGUUGUGAGGAAGUGACAGUUGUAAAUAAUGAUUGUCAUUGACGUUAGCAACAGAAUAAGCACCGGCUAACUCCGUGCCAGCAGCCGCGGUAAUACGGGGGGUGCAAGCGUUAAUCGGAUUUACUGGGCGUAAAGAGCACGUAGGCGGUUGAUUAAGUUGGAUGUGAAAGCCCAGGGCUUAACCCUGGAACUGCAUUCAAAACUGCUCAACUCGAGUAAGGGAGAGGAGAGUGGAAUUUCCAGUGUAGCGGUGAAAUGCAUAGAUAUUGGAAGGAACACCAGUGGCGAAGGCGACUCUCUGGCCUAUUACUGACGCU
rnacentral:rRNA from 1 species